rnacentral:misc_RNA from 1 species
GAUGAAGAACGCAGCGAAAUGCGAUAAGUAAUGUGAAUUGCAGAAUUCAGUGAAUCAUCGAAUCUUUGAACGCACAUUGCGCCCGCCAGUAUUCUGGCGGGCAUGCCUGUUCGAGCGUCAUUUCAACCCUCAGGCCCCCAGUGCCUGGUGUUGGGGAUCGGCCCAGCCUUCCUGUAAGGCCGCCGGCCCCGAAAUCUAGUGGCGGUCUCGCUGUAGUCCUCCUCUGCGUAGUAGCACAACCUCGCAGUUGGAACGCGGCGGUGGCCAUGCCGUUAAACACCCCACUUCUUCAAGGUUGACCUCGGAUCAGGUAGGAAUACCCGCUGAACUUAAGCAUAUCAAUAAGCGGAGGA